UUAUUUAACCAUUUCAGAUUAGGAAGACAUUGUUCCCGAGUCCGUUCCGCAGGAAGACGGCGAAGGGGACGCCUAAAGACUUCAUAGUUAUAUUUAUAGUUCUUAUUUCGAGUAUCUUUUUUAGUUAGUUUGUUCCUUCAUGUUUUGAGUACGUUUUGGUUAUUGUGUAAGGGAUGUUAAUCAAAAUUUUUAUUACGUUUCCGCAUUUGAGAUUUUUAAUACAUACAUUUCAUUUAAAUUUCCG
rnacentral:lncRNA from 1 species